rnacentral:rRNA from 1 species
UACGUAGGGUGCGAGCGUUAAUCGGAAUUACUGGGCGUAAAGCGUGCGCAGGCGGUUGUGCAAGACAGAUGUGAAAUCCCCGGGCUUAACCUGGGAAUUGCAUUUGUGACUGCACGGCUAGAGUGUGUCAGAGGGGGGUAGAAUUCCACGUGUAGCAGUGAAAUGCGUAGAUAUGUGGAGGAAUACCGAUGGCGAAGGCAGCCCCCUGGGAUAACACUGACGCUCAUUGCACGAA